rnacentral:lncRNA from 1 species
AAAACCCGUCCUUGUCGCGCCCACCACGCACGGGCGGGGGUGCAAGUGCGAAUCCCGAGACGCAAUGAACCGACCGCCGCCACCGGCCGCUAUAUAUACAGCGGCGGAUAUCAGACGGAGCAGGCUUCAGAGAGAGUUGAGAGCAUUUCCCCAAAAAGCUAGAGGCGCCCGCGCCUCCUGCCUCCGUGGCCGCUCUCUCCUGCUCCGUCCCUCUCGCUCCACUACUUAUUAGCCCCAGAGCUCGCCCGCCGGUUGCUCUCUCUCUCUCUCUCUNNNNCUCUCUCUCUCUCUCUCCUCCAUUGGCCAGUCUGCCAGAUCGGUCGAGGCCAAGGAAUCCUGCCUUCCCUGCCUUCCUUCUUCUAGCUGGUGCGUCCCUUCUUCCAUCUCCUCUCCUCUCCUCUCUGCGCGCAGUUACAUUUCUCCCUUCGAUACCAGGACAGGAACUAGUUUACGGUACCAACUGCUACAUGGACAUUUUUCUCUCCCCCAUAUGGUAAGUGCCACACUUCACGUGCGUGGCACACUGGCUCUGACGCGUGAGCAUAUUGUUUUCCAACUCUGAACACUUGCUCUACGGUAAUUUUCUUUAGGUAAUAAUACUCCCUCCGUUCUCCUUUGCCAGAUGUUAUAUGGAGCAAGUUUUUUCUGAUUCGGACGUAUGUAGAGGCAGUUUAGAGUGCUUGUUCACUUAUUUUAGUCUAUAAUUGUAGUCCAUAUUGAAAUAUGCAGAACAUCUUAUAUAUAUUUCUGAACAGAGGGAGUAAUAAAGAGUGAUACAAAGAAGGGAGCAAAACAAACAAAGCAUACUAACUACGAGUAAAAAGAACAAAGAAAAUGAUCUAGCCAACGCCCAGCUCUUGGAAACAUAAUGAACAGAGAGAAGUAUCAGAGACUAGUGGCCAUCCAUGCCUGGAAGCAAUCAGCAUGGGUAGCUUUUCUGAUCAAGAGAACAGCGGAGCAAUAUUGCUGCUAGUGGUUAGGUUCAUUGGAGAGAGAGAGAGAGAGAGAGAGAGAGGAAUCAGCGUUCCAUA